rnacentral:rRNA from 1 species
UACGGAGGAUGCGAGCGUUAUCCGGAUUUAUUGGGUUUAAAGGGUGCGUAGGCGGGAUGCCAAGUCAGCGGUAAAAAUGCGGUGCUCAACGCCGUCGAGCCGUUGAAACUGGCGUUCUUGAGUGGGCGAGAAGUAUGCGGAAUGCGUGGUGUAGCGGUGAAAUGCAUAGAUAUUACGCAGAACUCCGAUUGCGAAGGCAGCAUACCGGCGCCCUACUGACGCUGAGGCACGAAAGCGUGGGUAUCGAACAGG